GACGAACGCUGGCGGCGCGCCUAACACAUGCAAGUCGAACGGGGAAGUUAGCAAUAACUUUCUAGUGGCGAACGGGUGAGUAACGCGUGGACAACCAACCUUGUAGUGGGGGACAACACUUCGAAAGGAGUGCUAAUACCGCAUAAUCUCUUCGUGCCGCAUGGUGGGGAGAGGAAAGGAGCUAUGGCUCCGCUAGAAGACGGGUCCGCGUCUGAUUAGCUAGUUGGAGGGGUAAUGGCCCACCAAGGCGACGAUCAGUAGCCGGUCUGAGAGGAUGAACGGCCACACUGGGACUGAGACACGGCCCAGACUCCUACGGGAGGCAGCAGUGGGGAAUCUUCCGCAAUGGACGAAAGUCUGACGGAGCGACGCCGCGUGAGUGAUGAAGGCCCUUGGGUCGUAAAGCUCUGUCAUUGGGGACGAACGACCGCUUCAGGGAAUGGGAGCGGAGUGACGGUACCCAAGAAGGAAGCCACGGCUAACUACGUGCCAGCAGCCGCGGUAAUGU
rnacentral:rRNA from 1 species